rnacentral:rRNA from 1 species
AUACGUAGGGGGCGAGCGUUGUCCGGAAUGAUUGGGCGUAAAGGGCGCGUAGGCGGCCCGGUAAGUCUGGAGUGAAAGUCCUGUUUUUAAGGUGGGAAUUGCUUUGGAUACUGCCGCGCUUGAGUGCAGGAGAGGUUAUCGGAAUUCCCGGUGUAGCGGUGAAAUGCGUAGAGAUCGGGAGGAACACCAGUGGCGAAGGCGGGUAACUGGACUGCAACUGACGCUGAGGCGCGAAAGUGUGGGGAGCAAACAGGAUUAGAUACCCUGGUAGUCCACGCUGUAAACGAUGAGUACUAGGUGUCGGCUGUCAAAGGUCGGUGCCGGCGUUAACACAUUAAGUACUCCGCCUGGGGAGUACGCUCGCAAGAGUGAAACUCAAAGGAAUUGACGGGG